AGAUUAAAAAAGUUUAUUUACUGUACCUUUUGUACCAGGGAAAUUUAAAAAUAUAGUAAGGUUUUAUUCGAUUUUAUCGGAUCUUUUUAUUUAACUGGUAGUUGUAUUAAACAGUUAUACAGAUAAAGGGGUGAAAAGUGCUCGACGAUGAUGGUAUCUAAUUAUUUUAAAUAUUUUAAAUGGUCAAGCUUUUAAAAUUUCAUACUAGAAAAAAUUGAGUAGAACUAGGCUUUAAAUUAGCUUUGUUUUUAAAUUGUUUUAAGUAAUUUUAUGGUAAAACUUUAUUGGUGGAGUUAAGAGUAUUACGAGUAAAGCUUUUAGUAGUCAUAAAUAAUGAAUUUAUUGAAUAUUUGUCGGAGUUUAAAAAGUACUAAAGUCUAAUUGGAAAGUUUAACAAAAACAUUUCUGUUUGUGAAGUAAAAAGUAAGGUCUGCCCGGUGAGUUUUAAACGGCUGCGGUAUUUUGACUGUGCUAAGGUAGCAUAAUCAUUUGUUUUUUAAUUGUUAACUGGUAUGAAAGGUUUAACCAGUUAGUAAGGUUUGUAGAGCUUUAUGAGAGAUUUAAGUAAAGGUAAGAAUUCCUUUAUGUUCUAGGGGACGAUAAGACCCUAGAAGCUUAAUAAAUAGUGUUAUGGUAGUGGUCAAAAACAAAUUAGUUUACUGGGGCGGUUAUAGUAUACAAACUACUGAAUAAUUAGAAGAUCCUUUGUAUAAAGAUAAAAUGGUGUAGUUACUCUAGGGAUAACAGUACAAUAUAUUUAGAGAGAUCUUAUCAAUAAGUAUGUUUGUAACCUCGAUGUUGAAUUAAGAUAUCUACGCAGGGCAGGCAAGGCGAUAGAAGGUUUGUUCAACC
rnacentral:rRNA from 1 species